UACGUAGGGUGCAAGCGUUGUCCGGAAUUAUUGGGCGUAAAGAGCUCGUAGGCGGUCUGUCGCGUCGGCUGUGAAAACCCGGGGCUCAACCCCGGGCCUGCAGUCGAUACGGGCAGACUAGAGUGCGGUAGGGGAGACUGGAAUUCCUGGUGUAGCGGUGAAAUGCGCAGAUAUCAGGAGGAACACCGGUGGCGAAGGCGGGUCUCUGGGCCGUAACUGACGCUGAGGAGCGAAAGCGUGGGGACGAACAGG
rnacentral:rRNA from 1 species